rnacentral:rRNA from 2 species
UUGGAGGGCAAGUCUGGUGCCAGCAGCCGCGGUAAUUCCAGCUCCAAUAGCGUAUAUUAAAGUUGUUGCAGUUAAAAAGCUCGUAGUUGAAUUUCGGGAUUAGUACGUUGGUCGUGCCUUCGGUACGUACUGGUGUUACUGGUUCCUACCUUCUGACGAACCAUCAUGUCAUUAAUUUGGUGUGGCGGGGAAUCAGGACUGUUACUUUGAAAAAAUUAGAGUGUUUAAAGCAGGCUCGCGCUUGAAUACAUUAGCAUGGAAUAAUGAAAUAGGACGUUGACCCUAUUUUGUUGGUUUCUAGGAUUGACGUAAUGAUUAAUAGGGAUAGUUGGGGGCAUUAGUAUUCAAUUGUCAGAGGUGAAAUUCUUGGAUUUAUUGAAGACUAACUACUGCGAAAGCAUUUGCCAAGGAUGUUUUCAUUAAUCAAGAACGAAAGUUAGGGGAUCGAAGACGAUCAGAUACCGUCGUAGUCUUAACCAUAAACUAUGCCGACUAGGGAUCGGAUGAUGUUAUUUUUAAUGACUCAUUCGGCGCCUUACGGGAAAC